rnacentral:tRNA from 1 species
AGGCCUGUGGUGUAACUGGCAACACGUCUGAUUUUGGUUCAGAAGAGUCUAGGUUCGAGCCCUAGCAGGCCUA